UUUCCUGUGUUUUUUGUGUUUUUAUGGAAAUAUGCGUCUCCAAGUUAGAUGUAAGCUGCGUGUCCAAGAUUGUGUUAACAAGUUUGUAGGUGAUAUUUUCAUAGGUCCGAUAAAAAGAUCGUCCAGAAUGAAGGUUCAGAACGAAGGUCCGAUAAAACGAUCGUCCAGAAUGAAGGUUCAGAACGAAGGUCCGAUAAACGAUCGUCCAGAAUGAAGGUCCGAUAAAAUGAUCGUCCACAACGAAGGUCCGAUAAACGAUCGUCCAGAACGAAGGUCCGAUAAAACGAUCGUCCAGAACGAAGGUCCGAUAAACGAUCGUCCAGAACGAAGGUCCGAUAAA